rnacentral:lncRNA from 1 species
GUAAUGUCCAAAGAUGACAAAGAAAAGGCAACUGACUCAAAGUUACUCUUGGGCAAGUCAUUUCAUCUCUCCACGACACAGUUUCCUGCCUCUUCAACAAGCGAAAAGUGUUGGACACCAGGGUUGCAUCUAACUUAAUUUUGUUUCCGAUGUUCAUUAAGAAGAAUGAUCUUCAAGCUAGGAAGGAGAGUGUAUAUACCAAAGCGCUUUAUUAUAGCCAUAGCACCGUGAGAAAAUACAGGUUGAAUUAAUAAAUGGAACAGCUACUACAAGUACACUAAAAAGUAAGGAAAAAAAUAAAGAAUUUUUGUGGCCAGCAUAUUGGAAACAUUGUGGAAGAAUAGUUCCUCUUCACAUAAAGGUUACCUCUGUAAAGCUGCCAAGGUCAGAACCCUGGUGGGUUAUCUGCCAAAUGUGGAAACUGACAACCGAGAUGGUAAAUAAUUCAUCCAGGUUCACACAGCCUCUGACAAAGAAAGGUCUAUCUGACUUCAAAUUGGUUCCUGUUAGUCAUGUAGCUACACCGUCUUUCGGUGUAUGAAUUAUGCACACCAAAGCCAGAUGGUGCAUAUGUUGUAAAUUUGCAAAACAUUUCAUCUGCCUAGUGAAAAGCGUGAACGAGAAGAGAAAGACAUGAUUAGUCAUCCUUUGAUAUACAAAUGUUGGAUUGCACUAAGGGGAGAUCUUUUCCUCAAGCAUAGAACAAGAACCGUGACAAAAAUACGCAGCUCAAACAAACAUGGUUUUUUAACAGAAUAGCAAAUCUAAGAACCAAAAGAACAUAAUGCAG